rnacentral:lncRNA from 1 species
UCCUUUUUCGUUCUUUACCAAUUUAGUCCCAGAAAUUUCACAUGCUGCGGUAUGCAUGCAUGUGAAAGGUCGAUCUUUCCAACAACUUUUCUCGUAAUUCAUCAUAUUAAUUUGAACAUCUUAAUUUAUGUAAUAAUUCUCAAACAAACUUAAUUUUAAGGUUUAGUUUAGGGAUUUUUUCAUACUUGUUAGAAACUUUAUUAUCAAAAAUAUUCAUAUUUACAUAAUUACCCGACCUACCCAUGUUUAGUUUACAAAAAUAUAUACAUUUCACCUUA